rnacentral:rRNA from 1 species
AUUGAACGCUGGCGGCAUGCCUUACACAUGCAAGUCGAACGGCAGCACGGACUUCGGUCUGGUGGCGAGUGGCGAACGGGUGAGUAAUAUAUCGGAACAUACCUUGUAGUGGGGGAUAACUAUCCGAAAGGAUAGCUAAUACCGCAUACGCUCUAAGGAGGAAAGCGGGGGAUCGUAAGACCGCGUGCUAUAAGAGUGGCCGAUAUCUGAUUAGCUAGUUGGUGAGGUAAAGGCUUACCAAGGCGACGAUCAGUAGCUGGUCUGAGAGGACGAACAGCCACACUGGAACUGAGACACGGUCCAGACUCCUACGGGAGGCAGCAGUGGGGAAUUUUGGACAAUGGGGGCAACCCUGAUCCAGCAAUGCCGCGUGAGUGAAGAAGGCCUUCGGGUUGUAAAGCUCUUUUGUCAGGGAAGAAACGGUUGUGGCUAAUAUCCAUGGCUAAUGACGGUACCUGAAGAAUAAGCACCGGCUAACUACGUGCCAGCAGCCGCCGUAAUAC